rnacentral:lncRNA from 1 species
AGAUAACAUAUCGGUUAUGUAUAUUUAUAUAAGAGAUAACAUAUCGGUUUAAAGUACCAAUUUUGUGGAGAAUCCAUACAAAACCGCCAAUAUUUUACAGUUAUUUUGCAAAAUUCUUAUUAAAUAUAUCUACAGUGAGCAAAAAUCUUCGGAUGAGCAAGUAAAGUGUGUUAAUAUUAAGAAUCUAAUAACUUUGAAGUCGAAAAAGUAAAUAUUCUCAAUGUGGAAUCAAGCCAAGCUUGAUUACGAAAAUAUUAAAUAUUUAACAACUUUUGUUAAAUAUAUUAAAAUAUGAAGUGUACUUGAGUGAUAUGUGGUAAACAAUAAAAUGUGAUCGUACAACAUCAAAUUCUGCAACAACAACUAAUUACACAAAAAAAUAAAAACUGCCAGAUCGGAAAUAGGAUUAAGAUAAAAUAAAAAUUAUGACAAUGACAGCAUCACAACGACACUGUUCAGAAAUUAAACAAUGGCUGUUGCUAUCUGGAAAAACGUCAAGUGUCAAAAAAAAAGAAGAAAUGGUUAAGGUUAUACCCGAGUUUUUGUAACAGAGUUAGCAGCCUAGAUUUGACAGCCUCACAGAUUCUAUCAGUGAGUUAAACUAAAGAAGAUUUCUUAUUAAAGAAAAUGGACGGCUUUGAUUUUGAUAUUAAAAUUAUAGCCAUUAUAAUUUGUAUUAUAGUUGUUGCCCUUAUUGUGUGCUACCAUGUCAUUAGAAAUAAUAGUAGUCAUUAGAAGAAAAGAAAGAUCAAUACGACGUAUAUAACUUACUGAAUAUGCAUUUUCCAAAUAAUAUACGAUGUUUAUCACUACCUCAAGUUCACCAAGACUAUGCAAGUAUAGAAAAUCAAGUUCACCAAGACUAUGCAAGUGUAGAAACUUCUAUGUGAUGGAGGACUAAUCAAAAUCCAAAUUGGCUCUCUAGACCUAGACAAUAGCAUUUCAGUAAUUAUGGAAGAAUAACAUAUUAUUUGAAUUGGACAUGUACCUGUCCGGUGGAAAUUGGCGAGAAAUGAGUAUUUUUUAUAUAUUUAUUUUUAUUUAUUACUUAUGAUUGUUUACCUAUUAAUUUAUUUACCUACUAAUAAUAAGUUUAAUUAUAUUUUUAAACAAGAAGAUUUUUAAAUUAUGAAAAUGUUAUACGCGAUGUUAAUACAUAUUUAAAAUACGUAAUUUUAGUCAGACUAAAUAACAGUUUAAUGUAAAGAACCUAUUGUAUUAAUUGAAAAAGGAACUAUUGUCAAAGCUCAUGUGAUUAAUUAAAGAAAUUUUCUUAAUUAUUAAAAAUCAAUAAUCCUUA